GGGGCUAUUUAUGGUUUCUAUCGGGAGAAUCGUCCGGGUUAUAUGCUAUUAGGGAGAUGUUUAUGCCUUCCUCAAUCAAUCAUAAACAAGCAUAAUUGCUAAAACAAGAAUUCAAGGUGGUUUAACUGCAUUUAAAAAUGCUUUAACUCCAGCUUUCGUUGUUGCAUAAUAACUUGCAAUAACAGUAGCCUUCACAAGUUGAUGAGCGCCGGUUGGCCUGCUACAAAAUCUAUAAUCUUUCACUUGAAGAAUUUUAUAGAUUAUACAUUCAAGUCUUAUAGGAUCGGUUUUGACAAAGUCUUGUACCUAUAAGUACCGAUAGACAAGGUCUUCUUUUACACUUUUUGUUUGUUUUUCAUGUAAAAGAAUAUCAAAAUAAACUAUAAUAGUAGAUGUGUUUCCUUGGCCUUCCGAGACACGAGUUCAAAUCUCGUUAGCUCCACCA
rnacentral:tmRNA from 1 species